rnacentral:lncRNA from 1 species
CCCACCACAAUAGACUGAAAUAUCUUAAAAACACAAGCCUAAGUAAACCUUUCUCCCCUUGUUUCUGCCAGGUCUUUUGGUCACAGCAAUAAAAAAGUAAGUAAUGGACACUCUGCAAACAAAUGUUUCUUCUGGCAAACUGAAUUUCCGUAUAUCCUUUUCCAUUUGAAGGAAGCAAAUGAACAACAUGGGGGGUAAUCUGGUGGUAUUUCAGUGAUGCCAGCUUCAUUCAACAGAGACAAAUAACAAUUUUGCUGUCAACUGAAGGUAAGACAUAUGGGAAUAGGACCCUGGAAAGCCAAAUUG